GAAGAAUACGGGCACAGUACGAGGAAACUCUACGUCGCAAAGCCACGGAUCUACGGGCACAAGCCUAUGACGGCCUGGUUGCUAUC
rnacentral:ncRNA from 1 species